AUUGAACGCUGGCGGCGUGCUUAACACAUGCAAGUCGAGCGGCGCGGCGAACGGGUGAGUAACGCGUGAGUAACUGCCCCCCUCUCUGGGAUAACAGUUGGAAAUGGCUGCUAAUACCGGAUAGUGGGGGAUGACUCGCGUCCUAUGAGCUUGUGGGUGGGGUAGUGGCCUACCAAGGCGACGCCGGGUAGCCGGCCUGAGAGGGGGACCGGCCACAAUGGGCUGAGGUACGGCCCAAACGGCUACGGGGGGCAGUGGUGGGGAAUAUUGCACAAUAGGGGAAACCCUGAUGAAGCAGCGCCGCGUGCGGGAUGACGGCCUUCGGGUUGUAAACCGCUUUCAGCCAUGACGCGGUAGUGUAAGAAGAAGCACCGGCUAACUACGUGCCAGCAGCCGCGGUAAUUC
rnacentral:rRNA from 1 species